GACGAACGCUGGCGGCGUGCUUAACACAUGCAAGUCGAACGAUGAAACCGGAGCUUGCUCCGGUGGAUUAGUGGCGAACGGGUGAGUAACACGUGAGUAACCUGCCCUUGACUCUGGGAUAACUGCGGGAAACUGUAGCUAAUACCGGAUACGACCCUCGGAGGCAUCUCCUGGGGGUGGAAAGAAUUUCGGUCAAGGAUGGACUCGCGGCCUAUCAGCUAGUUGGUGAGGUAACGGCUCACCAAGGCGACGACGGGUAGCCGGCCUGAGAGGGGGACCGGCCAGACUGGGACUGAGACACGGCCCAGACUCCUACGGGAGGCAGCAGUGGGGAAUAUUGCACAAUGGGCGCAAGCCUGAUGCAGCAACGCCGCGUGAGGGAUGACGGCCUUCGGGUUGUAAACCUCUUUUAGCAGGGAAGAAGCGAAAGUGACGGUACCUGCAGAAAAAGCACCGGCUAACUACGUGCCAGCCGCCGCUGUAA
rnacentral:rRNA from 1 species